rnacentral:misc_RNA from 1 species
AAUUCUCAACCUUAUUAGCUUUUGCUGAUAAUGGCUUGGACUUGGGGGUCUUUUUGCUGGCUUUCAUUAGUCUGCUCCCCUUAAAUGUAUUAGCCGGUGCCCCGCAGUGGAACCGUCUAUUGGUGUGAUAAUUAUCUACGCCGUGGACGUCUGCUAUAAUGGGUUUGCGCUGCUUCUAACCGUCUCUCGGGACAACACAAAUGACA